rnacentral:lncRNA from 1 species
UUAUGGGUCGCUAGGUUUUGUAUUGUUUUUUUUUUCAUUUCUCCAUCAACAAAAUAAAUCUAUAUAUAUUUCAAUUAAUCCCCAAAACAUGUUAGGGCCCGUUCGGUAUCAUUUUCAAGGGCCAUUUUCUGUUUUUGUUUUCUAUUUUCACUUGAAAACAUGUUCGGUGGGUUAUUUUGAGAAAUAAGCUAAAAUUGUUUUCUGAGAAUGAAAAUGAAAGUAUGAAUAAAUGUUGAAAACGUCAGGAAGUCGUUUUCGUUUUCGGCGUUUUUGUUUUCAACCUCUCUAAAUCAAAGCAAACUCUCCUCCGUCACUUGAGCAAACAAUCCAAUCAAAUUAUAUCGAAAACAAUAAAAUCUCCUCCUUCCAACCAUAAUCAGCCCCAAAAUUUCAAGAAAAAAAAAACUCAUAAUCACACAAAUCUGCAACUAAGGGAAAAAGACAAAGAGGAAGAAGAAAAGAAAAAAAAGGGGAAGAAGAAGAAGAGAAAGAAUCAGAAAGAGGAAGAAGAAGGGAAAGGAAAAAAAGAGAGUGAGAGAGAGUUGCAGAGGGAGAGAUGAGAGAAACCAGCCACCACAUACCCAACUCAACCACCAUCACCAUCUAAUCUAACCACCACAACCAUUAAUUAGGGGAACCAGAGAGGUGGGUUGAUGGGAUUUAUGUAAUGGAAGGAAGGAGGAGUGAGAGUGAAAAAGAGGGAAGGAAGAAGAAAAGAGAAAGUAGAGAAGAGGAAGAAGGAAAGAAAAAGGAACGGGUCUGGGAAGGAAAGAG